UACGGAGGAUCCAAGCGUUAUCCGGAAUCAUUGGGUUUAAAGGGUCCGUAGGCGGUUUUAUAAGUCAGUGGUGAAAUCCGGCAGCUCAACUGUCGAACUGCCAUUGAUACUGUAGAACUUGGAUUAUUGUGAAGUAACUAGAAUAUGUAGUGUAGCGGUGAAAUGCUUAGAUAUUACAUGGAAUACCAAUUGCGAAGGCAGGUUACUAACAACACAUUGACGCUGAUGGACGACAGCGUGGGGAGCGAACAGG
rnacentral:misc_RNA from 1 species